AGCGGAGUAGAGCAGCCUGGAGUGCUCAUCGGGCCCAUAACCCGAAGGCCGGUGGUUCAAAUCCACCCUCCGCUA
rnacentral:tRNA from 1 species